GACGAACGCUGGCGGCGUGCUUAACACAUGCAAGUCGAACGGAAAGGCCCUGCUUUUGUGGGGUGCUCGAGUGGCGAACGGGUGAGUAACACGUGAGUAACCUGCCCUUGACUUUGGGAUAACUUCAGGAAACUGGGGCUAAUACCGGAUAGGAGCUCCUGCUGCAUGGUGGGGGUUGGAAAGUUUCGGCGGUUGGGGAUGGACUCGCGGCUUAUCAGCUUGUUGGUGGGGUAGUGGCUUACCAAGGCUUUGACGGGUAGCCGGCCUGAGAGGGUGACCGGCCACAUUGGGACUGAGAUACGGCCCAGACUCCUACGGGCGGCAGCAGUGGGGAAUAUUGCACAAUGGGCGGAAGCCUGAUGCAGCAACGCCGCGUGCGGGAUGACGGCCUUCGGGUUGUAAACCGCUUUCGCCUGUGCCGAAGCGUGAGUGACGGUAAUGGGUAAAGAAGCACCGGCUAACUACGUG
rnacentral:rRNA from 1 species